CCUACGGGGGGCUGCAGUGGGGAAUAUUGGGCAAUGGGCGCAAGCCUGACCCAGCGACGCCGCGUGAGGGAAGACGGUCUUCGGAUUGUAAACCUCUUUCAGCAGGGAAGACCAAAGGACGGUACCUGCAGAAGAAGCCGCGGCUAACUACGUGCCAGUAGCCGCGGUAAAACGUAGGUGGCCAGCGUUGUCCGGACUUACUUGGUGUAAAGUGUGUGUGGGCGGGUUUGCAAUUCAGAUGUGAAAAUUAUGGGCUCAACCCAUAACCUGCGUCUGAAACUACAGAUCUUGAGAGUGAGAGAGGUAAACGGAAUUCCCGGUGUAGCGGUGAAAUGCGUAGAUAUAUGGAGGAACACCAGUGGCGAAGGCGGUUUACUGGAUCACAACUGACGCUGAGACACGAAAGCGUGGGGAGCAAACAGGAUUAGAUACCCGAGUAGUC
rnacentral:rRNA from 1 species